AAUUCAAGGACACAUUCCAACUUGGCAAGAACACCUGAGCAAGUGUUAAACAGCAUUAUCUGUAAGGGACGUGACCUGAGGUGGGCAUAGCCUAGGGAGAGGCACAAGGGCCAGAGAGAGAGAUGCCUAGAAGGGCACACAGGAACACCAGGCUGGCAGUCCCCAACAUGAGCAUUUUAUAGCAAUAUAGUGGGUGCUGGAGAAUUCCAUAGAGUGGGAAAGUGGGGAACGGGAAGAUUUUGCUGCUCAUGCUCAGUAAAGUUUUUUCCCCCUGAGGCAUUUGGAUGCCAAGAUGGUGGAGGAGGAAUCUUCCCCCUCCUCCUUCUGAGGGGAGACCGAGGGCUGUGACCUACAAAGUAAAUUUCCCAUCAAUGGGAUUGCAUGUGAAACACGCGGAAGGCAAGCUGGGCGCCAAACUGGCCAGGGGAGAUCCUAAUUGCUUCUGCAUGGAAGAUGUUAUGCUCAUUAUUUAACAUUUAUUGGAAAAUACAACAAGAAGUUCAGUAAGUAAUCUCUUGGAUUAGAAUGUUGAAAUGUUGGUGGACUGAAAAAAUGUGAAUUUUAUUAUCAUAAAUCAAUAUUAAUAAGGAAAUGAACUUUUGUGUUCCUGCUUUAAAAGAAAGCCAAUGAAACAGUAACCGGCAUUUUAACACCACCUCAGGAGUAUACACGGUCUUCCUAGUAAACCCCUUGAAAUUAAGAAAAAUAGUUAUUCAGUUUCACCAAGAUCCACAAGCAAAUCCUAACAUGCAGCAGCUAAGUGGCAAUUGUUAUUCAUAGCCAAGGCCUGCAAAGCAGUAAGCUGUCAGAAAGAGGGAAGGCAUACAGGCUUGUGCAAGGCUUUGGGCCAGAAGGAAGGGAGGCCCCAGAGUCCAGCAGCAAUCAUGGCACAGGGCUGGGGGCUGCAUUUCAAAGUGAUUACACAAUACCAAAAAAAAUAAAAGCCCAUACAAGAUUAUCAUAUAUGUUUAAAUAGCUGCAUAUACAAAACAGUAAAUACAAUUACUGUAUAUUAAAACAAUUGUACAAAUAAAACAGUUUCAACUAAAUUCUGAUACCGAUGGAGAUAAAAGCGAAUGUAUAUCUGACCUUCGUGAAAAUGAAGAGAAGCAAUUUCUUGUGAGGCUAACAUAAAAUCUAAACUUCCCCUGAAAUGUAACCUUCUUCUCACGGGGUAUCAUAACCCUUCCAGGACAAUUUCCCAGAUCUCUGUCAAAUAUGUUACACAUUUUUUCCUGAAAGUUUUGAUGCGCCAAUCAACAUUGUAUCCCAACAUGUUCUACAGAAUUUUAUUUAUUUAUUUACUGUAAGCCAACCAAGGCAGUUGUCUGUAGCCUCCAACCACAAUGUAACCACACUGGUGCUCUGCUCCUGGAAACUACAGUACUUGGAAAUCCGCAAAAGCAGUGAUGCUGGUGAAAGUAGCCUUCCCCAGGGAGCCUGGACUGCCUUUCCACUUGCUAAAAGGUAAGUAGCUACAUGUAGUAAGCACUGACUUGUUAAUAAGUGGUUGUGUCCCCCCCCCCAUUUUUUUGCACUCCAGCAGUUCAAGAACAGCCUUUCUGUAUACCUGUUUCCAAAUACUGGUUCUUGUUUUUAUUUAUUAAAUCAGUGGCUUAUGUGGCUGUGCAUGUUCACAGCCUCCAAAAGCAAAUUAUUGUUUUCACAUUAAGUGUUUGCCUUUUUUAAAAAAAAAAAUACUGCUAAGUAGAUAACAUGUUCUCUGAUGUUGGUUGAUUGAUGCUACUAUACAAGCCUUUUGGGAAACAGCUGUUGCUAAUAAGAAGCAUUAUAACAAAAUAAUUGGGUUUCUUUCUUGAAGAAACAUUUUGUACAAAUGCUAAUGAUGUUGUUUAUUUUCCUUCAUAAACAUUUUCAGAGACUGUUCUUUUAUCUGCUACAGCAAAUUAUAAUAGUGAUGGUUUAAAUAGAGAAAGACAAAUUGUUCUUAGGUUUACAGCAGGAAAAUUCUCCUUUGAUAUAUAUUUGGCUGUGUGUUCCCUUCUGCAGUUGGGAAUACUCUACUCUGCUUUUUUUAAAAAAAUAAAGAAAUCCUAAGCCCGCAAAGACUUCUUUUUUAUAUUACUAUUGGCUCUAUUAAUGUGUUUGUACUGUAUUGUCCUUGCGCAGUGAUGCUUUGCCCUGAACAGGGUGUGCAUCAGGGAAAAGUGGGGUGGGGUGUAGCAAGAGCCCCCCAGGACACAAGUGUCAGUCAAGGGCAGGGAUAAUGUGGUGGUACAAGAGAGGUGGG
rnacentral:lncRNA from 1 species